rnacentral:rRNA from 1 species
UGGGGAAUAUUGCACAAUGGGGGAAACCCUGAUGCAGCAACGCCGCGUGAGUGAAGAAGUAUUUCGGUAUGUAAAGCUCUAUCAGCAGGGAAGAAAAUGACGGUACCUGACUAAGAAGCCCCGGCUAACUACGUGCCAGCAGCCGCGGUAAUACGUAGGGGGCAAGCGUUAUCCGGAUUUACUGGGUGUAAAGGGAGCGUAGACGGCGGAGCAAGUCUGAAGUGAAAGCCCGGGGCUUAACCCCGGGACUGCUUUGGAAACUGUUUUGCUAGAGUGCUGGAGAGGUAAGUGGAAUUCCUAGUGUAGCGGUGAAAUGCGUAGAUAUUAGGAGGAACACCAGUGGCGAAGGCGGCUUACUGGACAGUAACUGACGUUGAGGCUCGAAAGCUAGGGUAGCGAACG